GGGAAGGAAGGGGUGGUGCCCUUGACUCCCUUGAAGUUCAAAGUUCUUUGCCCUGGAGAGGAAAGCUUCUGUCCUCAGCCCACUCGAGAAAUUAGCCCAAGGUAAUUUCUCCCCUCUGAUGGAGAACUGGCUGCAGAGCUGUGGCUGGAGGGAUUACCCCAAGAGGUUGAGCCCAGAGUGCCCCUGGCCGGCGAGGGGGGCUGGACAUCCCAGAGUUUGAAGGUUCAGCAUGCGGGACAGCUGCAGCCGCUUCUCUUUGUUGAUAUACACGUUGAAGAAAAACUCGCGCUCCAGUUCCCGGAUCUGGAAUUUCGAAUAAGGGCAGCGCUUCUUGCGGAAGUCUGGGAGGAAUCGCGGAGAACAGGCGCGGAGAAAGGAGAUCUGGCGAGAGCAGGAGGAAUCCGGGAGGUCACCAGCGAGCAGGCACCUAGACACCCGCGAGCCUCUUCCGGGCCCCAAGCGCCCCGGGACGCCAGCCCCGAGCGCCCCGCGCGGCGCCUGGCUAGGCCGGCAGGGAGGCCGCAGACCGAGGAGAAGCGCGGAGACCCCCGCCUGGAGCGCAGCGGAGCCCGGAUUCGCCUCUCCCCACUCCCCUGCCGCCGCUAGCCCCCGGCCGCUCGGGUUUCUGCUCAAGCACCCACAAACACACAGUUUGAACCUCUUCAAAAACAGUUUUUUAAAACCAGCAAGCAGCGGAGCAGCCCUGGCUCGCCUCUCUGGUCUCAGGUUCUGCUCCAUUGCUCCUCUCCUCCACCUCUCCCCCUCUCUGGGUUUCUCCCUGU